rnacentral:lncRNA from 1 species
ACAGCUUCGCUGUAAAAAUGUGUGCACUGUUCGCUCCACCUUGCUGAGUGCUUGUAGCCUCUGCCUUACUUGGGGG